rnacentral:rRNA from 1 species
GCGAAAACUUUACAAUGCUGGCAACAGCGAUAAGGGAACCUCGAGUGCCAGGUUACAAAUCUGGCUGCCGAGAUGCCUAAAAAGCAUUUCAUAGCAAGGGCCGGGCAAGACCGGUGCCAGCCGCCGCGGUAACACCGGCGGCUCGAGUGGUAACCGUUAUUAUUGGGUCUAAAGGGUCUGUAGCCGGCCGGACAAGUCUCUUGAGAAAUCUGGCAGCUUAACUGUCAGGCUUUCAGGAGAUACUGUCUGGCUCGAGGCCGGGAGAGGUGAGAGGUACUUCAGGGGUAGGGGUGAAAUCUUGUAAUCCUUGAAGGACCACCAGUGGCGAAGGCGUCUCACCAGAACGGACCUGACGGCAAGGGACGAAAGCUAGGGGCACGAACC